rnacentral:rRNA from 1 species
UACGAAGGGGGCUAGCGUUGCUCGGAAUCACUGGGCGUAAAGCGCACGUAGGCGGCUUUCUAAGUCAGGGGUGAAAUCCUGGAGCUCGACUCCAGAACUGCCUUUGAUACUGGGAAGCUUGAGUCCGGAAGAGGUGAGUGGAACUGCGAGUGUAGAGGUGAAAUUCGUAGAUAUUCGCAAGAACACCAGUGGCGAAGGCGGCUCACUGGCCCGAUACUGACGCUGAGGUGCGAAAGCGUGGGGAGCAAACAGG